GAUGAACGCUGGCGGCGUGCCUAAUACAUGCAAGUCGAGCGAACGGACGAGAAGCUUGCUUCUCUGAUGUUAGCGGCGGACGGGUGAGUAACACGUGGAUAACCUACCUAUAAGACUGGGAUAACUUCGGGAAACCGUAGCUAAUACCGGAUAAUAUUUUGAACCGCAUGGUUCAAAAGUGAAAGACGGUCUUGCUGUCACUUAUAGAUGGAUCCGCGCUGCAUUAGCUAGUUGGUAAGGUAACGGCUUACCAAGGCAACGAUGCAUAGCCGACCUGAGAGGGUGAGAGCCAACACUGGCACGUAUCACCGGUCAAGACGACGACGGGAGGCAGACGGCGGGAAUCUUACGAAAUGUCAGAAAUUAUUACGUAUCAAAGAUGAGGGAGUGAUGUAGUUCUUCGGACCUUAAAACUUUGUUACGCUGGAAGAAAAAACGUCCACGUAACUAUGCACGCCUGGACCGUAACUAAUCAGAAAGACACGGCUAACUAAGUG
rnacentral:rRNA from 1 species